rnacentral:rRNA from 1 species
UACGUAGGGUGCGAGCGUUAAUCGGAAUUACUGGGCGUAAAGCGUGCGCAGGCGGUUUUGUAAGACAGGCGUGAAAUCCCCGGGCUCAACCUGGGAAUUGCGCUUGUGACUGCAAAGCUGGAGUGCGGCAGAGGGGGAUGGAAUUCCGCGUGUAGCAGUGAAAUGCGUAGAUAUGCGGAGGAACACCAAUGGCGAAGGCAAUCCCCUGGGCCUGUACUAACGCUCAUGCACGAAAGCGUGGGGAGCAAACAGG